GGGGUACAGAGGUCACUUUGAUCAACACUCUGCGACACGUAGGAAUCACAGCAAGCUGACAUUCCAUUACCUGAGACAAAAAGGGCCCAAAACAAAGAAUAUGUUAAGGGACACUGGACUUCAAUACAGCAAUAUGACUAUAAUUAACAGAGAAAUGGAUGGCUUAUGUUGAAAUGGCUAGAGGCUGUCUGCUCCCGGAGGCUAUUGUGCACUGGAGACAAGUGCGCUGUCCCCUUGAUAUUACAUGCUUGACCUUUUGGCUCUACCACUCUGCCUGUGGCCUUGUUACAUUUCCUGAGCUUCUUCAAAUCAAAUAUGGUGCUUUCAGGUGCUUUAAAAUCACCCGGCAGACCAAGCAAGGCAGUGAUUGGAACCAUAUAGCGAUACGAAGUGUGAGGUAAACCCUUAAUGGAUAACAAUGUCAAAAGCGAAUAAUCAAGAUUUACCAUGUAAGUUGUAUUUAUCAUUAAGUCAAAGCAAAAAAUAGUGCAAGUUUUCAUAAAAGAUAUUAUUCUUUAUGUUUUUAUUUUUAUUUUUAUUUUACAGAAAAGCUUCACUGACGCAGAAUGGUUGGCUGCAAAGCUCUAUUUUUUUCACUUUAUGGCUUGAAUGUGUAAAAAAUAAAUCAUUAGCUAAGUUUUUA